CAGUAGCCGCGGUAAUACGUAGGGUGCAAGCGUUAAUCGGAAUUACUGGGCGUAAAGCGUGCGCAGGCGGUUCUAUAAGACAGAUGUGAAAUCCCCGGGCUCAACCUGGGAACUGCAUUUGUGACUGUAGAGCUGGAGUGCGGCAGAGGAGGAUGGAAUUCCGCGUGUAGCAGUGAAAUGCGUAGAUAUGCGGAGGAACACCGAUGGCGAAGGCAAUCCCCUGGGCCCGCACUGACGCUCAUGCACGAAAGCGUGGGGAGCAAACAGGAUUAGAUACCCCCGUAGUCCCUGUCUCUUAUAC
rnacentral:rRNA from 1 species